UAACAAAUUGGUGAGAAGAUGAGGACUGACAUAUUGUUUUGGAAAGGCAUGAAAAUGUGUGGGUAUGAUGCAGCCAUAUGUGAGAGAAGGAAAUGGGACGCAAUCAAAGGAUUAGGAGAAAUGAAGCAGGCAUUUUUAAGGAAGAGGAGAGAAUUUGUGAUUACCACAUAUCAAGUGUCAUCUUUUUAAAUGAAGAUUACAGUUUUCUGUAUCUUUGUGGUCUUGCCUAUUAAGUUACUGGUUGCUGUCAUGCGUUUAAUGUAUUAUAAAAAAUAUAAAAGCAAUCAUGCAUAGGCUAUAAGCAUUCUGAGUUAUGUUCUGGUGCAUUAGCCAUGGGAAUUCAUGUCUUCCACUGAAGUUUUUUUUCAGUGAACUAGUUCAAAAAAUAUGAGAUGCUUCCUGCAACUUAUGUUUUCAGCUUCACAGAUUAUAAAGGCAGAAGAGAGGACUCUGCUUGUCCAGUCUGAUCUCCUGUACACCAUAGGUCACAGUAUUAAUUUCUCUUUGCAGUAGAGGAUAUCUUCUGGGAAAUGGGGGUAUAAAGAUAGUAAAUAACUUACGGUGAGCUGCUAAGAACAAAUUAUUUCUGGUCAGAGUUUGUGUAGUCUUAAUAUCUAGCAUUCUGUCUUUGCCUGCCAGAAUGAGGUGUCUCUAUAAUUGCAUUCAUACUGUAAACUUCACCAUAG
rnacentral:lncRNA from 1 species